AUUAACUCCGUGAUGGUCUAGCUUUCUCACUUCCCUUUGGUGCCGCUGACCUGUGGCCAUUUGGAUUUGGUGUCCAUGUGACAUGGCUCCUUGCUGUGCCCGCUUCGGCUGGCCAGUCUUUGCACUUCCUCUUCUCUCUCCACCACCACUGACUGGGCACACGUAGCACUGGACAGUCUCCUCCCACCCCCGUCUGUGGGAUAACAAGAGGAGUCUGUCCUGACAAUUUUGUUAGCCUCGUCGGUUUGCCACUCAAUCUCCCCCAAGAUGGACUAAAAUGGAAAGAAAUUAAUGACAGCGGCUCUUUUCUCAGCCUUGGAUGCAAUUCUUACGUAAUCUCUGUGGCCAUUUUUGGUGACUCUGCGUAGGUUAAGUACAGAAAAAAGCAAUAUUUUAGGGACUGUUGAUAGUCACCAUGGUAAUUUGAAAUUUCGAUGAUCACGAGAGACAAUGGGCUAGAUUGCAAAGCAAAUGGAUUUUCAGACAACCACUACCAUAAAUCCACCAUUAUUUCAAGGAGAUGUCUCA